rnacentral:rRNA from 1 species
AGUAACACGUGGAUAACCUACCUAUAAGACUGGGAUAACUUCGGGAAACCGGAGCUAAUACCGGAUAAUAUUUUGAACCGCAUGGUUCAAAAGUGAAAGACGGUCUUGCUGUCACUUAUAGAUGGAUCCGCGCUGCAUUAGCUAGUUGGUAAGGUAACGGCUUACCAAGGCAACGAUGCAUAGCCGACCUGAGAGGGUGAUCGGCCACACUGGAACUGAGACACGGCCCAG